rnacentral:tRNA from 1 species
UACGUAGUGGUGUAGUGGUUAGCCCUCUUGCCUCACAGUGAGAAGGUCCAGGUUUAAAUCCUGGCUGCGUCC